AAAAAAAUUGCCUCAUUGAUUUACGCUGCCACAUUUCCAUCUGCGCUGUGGAAAAAUUUGCCCCCGGAACGACUUAAAAGGUGAAGCAUGUCUUGCAGCGCUGACUCAAGAAAACGCGCCGCAAUCAAACAAGCCCAAGCAGACGUGUCUUUUCAUGCCUUCCUGCGCUCGCUAUAUGAGCAGUCUGUACUGCCCACAGAGGAAAAAAAAUAAAUUUUCCUUUAAACGACUCACCGAUGGGAACGGCUGCGAGGUGAACUUUGACCCCGAUAAAGAGCACUGAUGAUGCUGACUCAACUUCCUGUUUCCUGCCUCCAGAUAUGAGAAAGUGAAUCCCACAUCCUGCUGCUCGGGGUUGUUUGAUGAGUCGGCUGUCGAAUGACAAGCACCAAUAGUGUUUUUUUUCCUUAUUUGGCAAAUCAUGGAUGCACAUAGGUGACGUUUAUUGCUGAGCACUAAAUCAAAUUCAAAUCGGCAUUGCAAUUUUCAAAAGGGAAAGACGGAAAUCAAAAUCCUUCAGCUUCAUUUCAGUCGGACAGUAGGCUCAUUUUACACUUCUAAAACAUAACAGAGUACAAUAUGAUCUAACGAUUUUAAAAUGUAAUUGGAGUUUGAUUCAGUUGGAUUACGAUUCAAGUUACGGCUGUAGCUUUUGUCAUGUUGAUUAACAUACAACAGCAUGUAAAAGCUCUCAAACGCUCAACCUAUCCAAGUGAAUGAAAUUCAAAACAUCAGUGAAGUCAAAACGAUUAUAUCUAGUGUACAUCUCGCUUAAAAGACGAUUUGAUACGAUUCUCGAUACGUACGAUCGGCAAAAGCAUUCAGCUUCACAAAAAUUGCAUCCUCCCUUCUUUGUUGGGUAACGACUAAACCGCCAUCCCGGUUCAUCUGCAUAUAAAACUCCUCUCAUUGUCAAGGACACAUUCCGAGCUGCGGUUGCCACGGCAACAGUCUUGUUUAUGCCCCAUAUGUCUUUCCUGCCUCCCACUACCGACGCAGCUACGAGAUGACCCUCUUUCCCUGCAGCACGGUCCUAAUCUCGACACUUUGAGGUGACUCUCGUCACGCUAAAAAUACACCUUCGGCAUAUGUGCACUUGUGCAGGCAGGGACCAACUUGUCUGUUUGUUUUUUACCUGCACCAACAUGCACACUGCCAGAAGUAUUUUUACAUCCUAAUCCCGACAUUCCUGUUGUUUACGUUAACGUCAUCAUCUUCUACAGAUGUUAGCAGCGUCUCACUGUGUAUGUUGAUUUAAAAGGAAAUAAAAAGUAAUAAUGCA